AUUGAACGCUGGCGGCAGGCCUAACACAUGCAAGUCGAACGGUAACAGGAAGCAGCUUGCUGCUUUGCUGACGAGUGGCGGACGGGUGAGUAAUGUCUGGGAAACUGCCCGAUGGAGGGGGAUAACUACUGGAAACGGUAGCUAAUACCGCAUAACGUCGCAAGACCAAAGAGGGGGACCUUAGGGCCUCUUGCCAUCGGAUGUGCCCAGAUGGGAUUAGCUAGUAGGUGGGGUAACGGCUCACCUAGGCGACGAUCCCUAGCUGGUCUGAGAGGAUGACCAGCCACACUGGAACUGAGACACGGUCCAGACUCCUACGGGAGGCAGCAGUGGGGAAUAUUGCACAAUGGGCGCAAGCCUGAUGCAGCCAUGCCGCGUGUAUGAAGAAGGCCUUCGGGUUGUAAAGUACUUUCAGCGGGGAGGAAGGGAGUAAAGUUCAUACCUUUGCUCAUUGACGUUACCCGCAGAAGAAGCACCGGCUAACUCCGUG
rnacentral:rRNA from 1 species